GAGCUCAACCUUUGCUAGCAAUGUGUAGGCCAAGACCCGCGAUGGUGACCCUCCUUUCUCAACUUUGAAUACUCUUGUUUCUUGUGGUGUAAUUGUGUUGACUUUCUUAGUUUUAGCAAUCGAACUGUCAAAUGACAUAUCGGCAAUUCUGCAUUCCCCACGUAAGUUGUUCAAUUCCAUCGUUUCUUAAUUUAUAUUAGUUUCUUUUCGAUUAAGAGGACAUUUUAGAAGGCAAUUUUUUUUUUCCAUAUUAUAUAGUUUUUUUUAGUGAAAACAUUUUGAAGAUGUCAGUCAAAUAAAAAAAAUAUUCAUUUUAAUACAUUAAAGAAUGAAGACGGUAUCUUUUUAUAUUUUUAUUGAUGAUAAUGCCCUUCUAGAAAAUGAUUAUACACACACACAUACUAUUUUUCCGGUCCUCUUCAUCGCCUUAAGAUGUCUCGGGCGGAAAAACCCAAUUCGAUUAUAAUUAUGAUAUUAUUCUCUGACCUAAACUAUGAAUAAUCUGCAUACAUACGUGCCAUCUCCUUAAGAUGUUCUAAUACAAAAUGGAUUCAGUGAGGUCUCUUUAUAAAAAGACCACCCUGCUCGGUAUGUAAAAUCCUGAGACCGAAGCAUAUAAAAAAAGAGAAACUUUUUUCUCUUUAAGUUGUUAUCUCGGCAACUCUUCAUUAUGACUUAAGCAUUGAUGCUGCGUUUACUUUUUGGAUUGGAGUGGGAAUCCUUGGAUUAUGAGUGUGGAGUGGGAGUGAGAGUAAUGUGUUUACUUAGACUAAAUAAAAGUAUGGAUUGUCAAUUAGAAUCCUAAUUAUUUGUUUACUUUGUCUUGGAUUGAGAAUAAAUUAUUUUAAAUUAAAAUUUUAUCCUUAUGUACAGAAUUAUAAUUUGUAAUUAAAAAAUUAAUAAAAAAUAUAUUUAGAAAAUAAAAUAAAUAUUUUAUUAUAUUUAUAAAUUAAUAAUAAUUACUAAUAUUCUUAAUUAUGUAAAUCAUAAUUUUUUAUUAAUUUUAAUUUAAAUUAUGUGAAUAAAAAUUAUUAAUAAUAGCAACACAAAUGAAAUAUUAUUAUUGAUAAUAUAGUACAAAAUUAAUAUUUUUUUAGAAUAAAAUAUUUAUUAUUAUUAAAUAAAUAAUUAAUAUUUAUUAAAAUUAAUGUUUAAUAUUAUUAAUUUAAAUAUAAUAUUUAUUUUUAUUUUAUUAAAUUUAAUAAAAUAAAUAUGAUAUAAUUAUUAUUUUUAAUAAAUAUGAUAUUAUUUAUUUUAUUAAAUAUUAUUUAUUUAUUUAUUUUUAUAAGGAUAAAAUGGGAAGAGGGGGGAGUGGAUUCCCACUCCCACCUCUCCCCAUGGGAGUGGGAAUCCCACUCUCCACUCCAAAAUUGGGUGGGACCCACGGAUUCCCACUCCCACUCUCCCAUUUUUUAAGGUAAGUAAACACUGUAGUGGGAGGAAUCCACACUCCACACUCCCACUCCAGAAAAUAAACACUACCUUAAUGUAUUCACUGGUAACAACGUUGGGGGCCUUACGAUGUCGGUAACAACACUAGUGCCCUUACGAUUUUCUCGUUUUAUCGGCAAGGACGUUAAAUCCAAAACUUGAGAUUUCUUUGGACCAGUGGCCUCAUUGAAUCCCAACCUUUUUAUUGCCUGAUCACUUUAAUCCCGACCUUCUUAUUCCCCAUUCAUUUCAAGGUACAAAUUAUUGGUGUCUAAAAGUAUAUAUGGUUGAUUAAAAAAUCAUCAAAGUUACUUUUUGGUUUCUGGAUCGUAAUUUGUAAGGAACAUUUUAAAAAGGCCGCAACAGGGUUUGUUUUUUAAUUUAAUGACUUAAAGUGACUUAACUUAAUUAAUUAAGUUAAUUAGAGGUAUUUGUUUUUAUAACUUAAUGAAACUUUUUAGAUAAUUUUGACUUAAUAAAAUAAGCUAUUUUUUUUUACUUUUUACUUAAUAGAGAAAUAUGAAUUAAGUCAAUUACUUGCUAAUGUAAAAAAUAUUCAUGUUUUAUAAUUUAUUUUUCAUGUCUAUCUCAAAACUCACCCAUAGAUAUUUACCCCGUAUAAAAAUAUCCAUGUUUUUUCUUUCUUAUAUUAUAUACAAUAAAAUUUAAAAUUUAUGGUAUUUUAUAUAUUAAAAUUCUAAAAUAAUUAUGUAUUCACUUGAAUAUAGUUUUACUUAUAAAUGUUAAAAUAUUGUGGUAUUUAAUAUAUUAUUUAUUUGACAUUCAAAUUUAAUAAGGAUACAAAUGUAAAAGUACAUAUUUUCAGAUUUUUAAGUUGAAAAAAACAAACAACUUAAUACUUAUUUUCCGAGAUUCAGAUGAAAAAAUAAACAUAUUAUUCAGAUUCAGACAUUCAUACCUAUUCAGAAUUCAGACUAAUUCAGGUCUAUUCAUAUUUCAAACAAAAAAACAAAUGCCACCUAAGUUAUAGAUUCUGUAACUAAUUAACCGUUAAUAUGAUUAGUUGGAUUAAAAGUUAGAAGUUGGAUGGUUGUUCAUUAAUUUAAAUAAAAAGAAAAGUGUUGGGUCUACUAACUAGAAAGGUUUUUCAGCAACUAAUUAUAAUUAAAAUUACUUAUAAGAGCUUACUAUAUUUAGAUAGAUAUUCCAACUAACAUGGUGUUAAAAAAUUAUAGAGAAGUUAAUUUUGCUGCAGAUUAUAUGACGAACCUCGCUUUUUCUAUCCCUCUUAGUUUUAUUGUGUACCCUACACCUCCUUUGGGGGGUAGGUCAUUUUUACUUCAUGACUCAUACGGGAUCUCGUAUCUCCGCUCAGUUGUCCUUUAGCUCUUUUUAGAGCCCCAAUUUAUCAAAAAAUAUAUAUAUAUAACUAUAUGAAACAAGUAACAAUAUUUACUAAUAUGAUUUUGGCCUGUACUUAAUAACAGAGUUUCACAUAAUAAUUUCACUCUAGAAUCCCUAGAGUACAAUUAGAAUCCAUAGAGUACAAUUGAACCUUUAGACAUGCUAUAAAGAGAGAGAGAGAAAAAGAAGAAUUUCUCAUUUCAACUUUGCUAAUGCUUUCUUCCUAUAUUUCAAAAUAGAGAAAUCAUAGAGUACCUCAAGAAUAAAAAUUCAAAUUUUAGAUUAAAAGUUAAAAAGAAUUGCUCAAUUGGAGAAUGAAUUAAACAACAAUUAAGUUCAUUUGCAACCAAGCCAAUUCUUAUUCAUUACUCAGCCAUGCAACAUUAGAGGGAAAAAAAGAUAAAAUAAUCCCUGAGGUAUAAAGAAAACUACUGCUAUUGUCUUUUAAUGGAAUGUGAUGUUUUCUCUUUCAAAAAUUACAAAAAAAAAAAAAAAAUUGUUUCCCACGAUGAUUUUUUUGUUUUUUGUUUUUAAAUUAAAAAUAAAAUAAAAAUUCUUCACUUGUACCAACAUAUUAACGUUUAACUCCAAAGUUAUAAGAGGAGUGCUACUUACAAUUUUACACUGAAAAAUUUAUUUCAAAUUAAUGUUAAACUCCGAAGUUAUAACAUGCAGCUUUUCUGUAAAGCUGAGUAGGCAACAGUAUAAACAUCUGUUCAAAUUUUCAAUGCAUUUGGGAAGAAGAAACUCUGGUUAGAUGAUGGCCAUUUCAGUUUUCUAACAAGCGAACAAGCACUUUUAACUAGAAAGUACUAUAAUUAUCCAAAAUUGAAUAUUAUAUUAGAGAAAUAAAUCUCAGAACCAAUCACUUAACGAGCAAAUGACAUAAAAUUUGUGAAAUUUGAAAUAAUAUCAAAAAGAAAAAGAUUGUUCAAAUUAAAAUUUGUAAACUGAAAAUAAAAACAAAAAAAAAUAAACGGACAUCAUUCUCAGCCUAGAAAGAUAUAUUAAUAGAUAAUUCAUUUCUUCUUACAGAUGGAUACAUAUUAAGAGCUUGCCAUGUCACGGAUAAUGUAACAUACACACCCAAUGGUUGGCAGCCAUGUGUCCUAAGGAGAGAGAAAAAGCAUUGAAAUACAAGUAAUAGGAGUUGGCAGCCACUGGAUCUGUAAGUUACAUGAUCAGUAAGUUAGCCAACUCCCGUAUUUUUAAGAUAUUUUAAUAUAUAAUUCUUUAGUUUCUAAACGAUCGCACUAAUUUGGACAACCUCGCUGACAUUGACAUGCAGCGGGUUUAGGAUUUGUCGAUCUACAAAAAUUUCCCUUCCUGGCUGUAAAAACUACGGAGGUUAUAAUUUCCAAGUGGCAGAAAUAAACCCAACAAUCACAGAAAAUUCGUUACCUAUCCAAGGUUAAAAAAGCUCAGUGCAGAGGCAACAUAAAAUACAAAUUUCAUUUCUCACAGGACGGCAACAAGCAAGUUAAUAGUCCCUACAUGACGCCACUUGGGCUUGUAGUCCAGUGGUGGACCAUUACCCUCAAAGUUAAGCAUGACUAUGAGGGUAAUGAUUCGAGUCCCUACGGAUUUAACUUCCCUCAAUUAAACAUAAUUGUGUGGAGAUUUUUUAUAAUGUCUUUCUCCUUUACGAAAUGCAAAUGGAGUAGAGAUAUUACGAAAUGGCGAAAUGCAAGUGGAGUAGAGAUAUUACGAAAUGCGAGUGGAGUAGAGAUAUCCCUCUUCCGUGAGGAGUAUUUGAAUGGGCAUGUACUUUAUAUAAUAAAAAUGUAAUAAUAUCAAGGGAGAAAGACAUUGUAAAAUGCGAGUGGAGUAAAGACAUCCCUUCUCCGUGAGGGGUAUUUGGAUGGACAUGUACUUCAUAGAAUAAAAAUAUAAUAAUAUAAGUCUCAUGUAUAUAUAUUUGAUUGUAAAUAUUAAUAUAAUGACCUGCUGUCAUAGCAGUUGUAUAUAUCUCUGUGUAAUAGUCCCUACAUGACGUGUCCUUGUGCCUAGUGCUGCCAAUAUUAUUUAUUGCAUUGUCCAAUGUUGUCCAGUCUCUGAUACUAAAAGAUUUGUCAGCAUAUCAGUGUGUGACUUUGAUGGAACCCAAAAUAUGCUCACUCGCUCUCGCCCCAUUCUAACACCACUCAUUCUCCUCCUUGUUCAGACUGCAUACUGCUGAUAGAAUCAUCAAAUCGCAACUAGCGUCGUCAAAAAAAGAAAAAAAAAAUCCAUGGAUUCCUUAUUCUACUACUGCUUUCUUAUCCUUUUCUCCUCAUAUUUCCUAACAAAAUAUUUCCUCCAAGUUAACAGAAAUCUCCCACCCUGUCCUGCGGUUUCACUACCCAUAAUAGGCCAUCUCUACUUGUUCAAGAAACCCCUUCAUCGAACCCUGGCCAAACUAUCAAACCAAUAUGGUCCGAUUGUAUUUGUUUGGGAGAGAUACUGUUUGGGAGAAAUACGUCGACGAGACCAGGAAUGACGAGCAGAUAUGACGAGCAGAUAUCUGAUGGCAGAGUCCUGCGAACCGGUGUGUUCCGUAAAAGCCUGGUGCGCGGAGGAACAGGAGCAGAAAUAUCCUGCUCGUCCACGAUGUUGUCAUCCGCGAGGCCAAUUCCCUAUAAGAGGUAUACGGCCAUUCCGGCUAGAGGUCGAUAGGCGAGGAGACCUGGUCGACGGCAGUUGGCAAGACAUGCUCUCCAGCCCGAGAAUCUAGGCACGACAGCCACGCUUUCCCCUGAACCGUGGCGUAACACGCAAGAUCUCACAGAACCACGACAGCCACGCUUUCCCCUGAACCGUGGCGUAACACGCAAGAUCUCGCAGAACCACGACAGCCACGCUUUCCCCUGAACCAUGGCGUAACACGCAAGAUCCCCCGUUUGCCCAUAACGCAGCAGUCAGAGCCCCAGACCGUCUCGAAAAAAGCAGAAAACUGGGAUUCAGAGGAAGCCUAUAAAAAGGUAGCCAACGAAGGUAAAAUGGUUAGCAAUUUUGAUUCUAAAAGAGAGAAAACAAUCUAAGAGCCAUAAGAUUUGUGGCAAGCGUUCCCCGAACCUUCAUAUCUGACUUGAGCGUCGGAGGGUUUGCGCCGGGAAAACAACCGGCGUACUCUGACUUGUCUGUGUGCGCAGGAACCUCCGGGGAAGAAGCCUUACGCGGAGACCUCCUGGUCGUGGUGAAGUUGAUCGAGCAGAGAUCCUGGUCGUAGGCAGAGGAGAACCAGAAUCUCGCAUCAACAUUUUGGCGCCGUCUGUGGGGAACAGAGCAAAAAGCUUCUGUUGAUAGCAAGAAGAGGGGUGAAGCAAGUGAAAAGCAAUGGAGACAGGAGGAAGUAGUGCACAAGGAGGCGAUAGGAGGCUUCACGACCCCGUGGCGCUGAGGGAGAUAGUCAGUGAAGCACAGGAAAAAGUCAUGUUCGACCGGAUGGAACGGAUGGAAAAACAGAUGGAGACCUUGACAACCAUCCUGCAUGAGCUGCGGAGCGAGCGAAGGGUAACCCAAGAGGGAAGGGUGAGAGGCGGAGGAGUGGCACAGGGUCCCGAUAGUGCGAGGAGAAGUCAAACCACCGGGGGAUAUGGUGGUGAGAGAAGUAACGUGCCUCUGCGGGGAGAAUUCCAUAGAGAAAGAGAGCAGUCCCCGGCAAGACAGAUUUCGGACGAGGCCGACGGGGUGGUGAAUGCGGAGGAAACAGAGUUGAGGCAACACUUGCAUGAUGUAGAGCAAGAGCGGGAUCAAGUUGUUGCACGUGACCCUGGUCGUGCAGGGCAGCUGGAGGAGGAAGUGCGCAGACUAGCGCAGGUAAUUGACGACAUGCAAGGAAGGAACAGGGCCCCUGGUUGGAGGAUAAUGCUGGACGGAGAAUCACCGCUCGCAGCAGAGAUCAUGAGGGCGGUUAUUCCGAGAGAUUUUCGCCUCCCAGACCUCAGAUACUCGGGAAGAACUGACCCGCUGGUGCACAUAGAGCGCUUCAACGACAUAACUGGGGUACAAGGAUUAUCUCAAUUCCAAAGGUGCAGGGUGUUCCCACUAUCCCUUGAGGGACGUGCACGAGAAUGGUACAGGAAACUUCCUCGGGGCAGUGUUAAAACCUUCGAGCAGAUGUGCCAGGAAUUUGCCGAGCAGUUUAGUGGGGCAAUGGCACCAGAGGAUGACAUGAUGGAGUUGAAAAGCAUGAAACAGGGGGAGCAAGAAACCCUUCGGGAAUUCAUCAAGAGGUUUCAUCGGGCUGUCCUCGAUUUGGGAGCCUUCAACCACCCUCAGGCGUUAAGGGGGUUGAAAGACGGGGUGAAGAUAGGAAGGCUGUGGUACAAUUUGAGAAGCCCAGCCAUUCAAACGUACGCAGCCGCAUACGAGCAGGCUAAGAGAGACAUCGAGAUUGAAGAGGAGAAGGCUGCACGGAUUAAGACAGACCAGUUAGAAGGGUCGGGGAGGAAAGAGAAGAAAGCAUUACCGGGGAAUGGACCGAUUAGGAGGAGGGACCACCAGGCCUCCGGUAGUGGAGCAGGAGGUCGGGUAACUGCUUACCAGCCUCAUCAGAGGCCACCACAGUAUCAGCGCAGCAGGGCGCAACCUCCUCGUUCCCCAGCUAGGGAGCCUUGGAGAAGGCAUGAUUCGACAUCUGCUGGUUUUCAUCGAUAUUCCCACGGUAGCAGAGCGAGCAGACCAGAAGUGUUUCCACCGCCCCCGACUUAGAGCGGGGCAAACAGAGAAAGAGCAGUGCACCUGAUCGACCAGGACCAGGACUAUGGGCGGUACACUUCCUUGAAGAUGUCCCUGGAUGAGGUGUACGAGGCCAUAAAGGAUCGGGGGCUGCUGCACCUCCCCACACCAAUAACAAAGCUACCCAACAGGAGGGAUAGAGGACGUUAUUGUAAGUUCCAUGGCACCCAUGGCCAUACCAAAGCAGAGUGUAGAGAUCUCAAGACCCAGGUCGAAGAUCUGGUGAGAAAUCGGUACCUGGACGAGUUUGUGGAUGGGAUUUUCCUGACGGUGGCGACAGCAGGUGAAGGGGAGCAGAGUGAUAGAGACCUGAGGCGCGAGCAGCCCGCAGUAAGGGUGAUAGCUGGGGGUCCAACAUUGGCCGGAGAUUCCAACAGAUCCAGAAAAAAUUAUGCUAGGUACGCCAUAUCCAGUAAAGAGAUACUCUUCAACACCCCAGCAGCCAAACGAGCAAGGGUCAGGCAAGUGCCAAUCAUGUGGACGGAUGAGGAUGAGAAAGGGGUUCUAUACCCCCAUGAGGAUGCUUUAGUCAUCAAGGCUACUGUUGCCAGCAAGAAAUUCGACCGGAUAUUGAUUGAUACAGGGAGCUCAGUUGAUGUGUUAUUCAAGUCAACCCUGGAAGAGAUGGGAAUAGCCGACCGGAAGUUGGAAUACACCAACACCUCCUUGAAGGGGUUCGGAGGAGGGAAGCUGGUCCCGCUGGGCGUGGUCGAACUGCCUAUCACAAUUGGGAGUUCCCCGACAGAAAGGACAAUAAUGCUGGACUUUGUCGUAGUGGAUGAGGAAGGUCCUUACCAGAUGAUCCUAGGUCGGCCAUUUUUAAGGAUGAGCAAAGCGGUGUUGUCCAACCAUUAUCUGGCUCUGAAGUACCGGGUGAAUGGGGUAGUAGGAGUGGUACGAGGAGACCAGAGGAUCGCGAGAAGCUGCUACUCCUCGGCAGCAAGGGAAGCAAUGCAGAUAACAUCCCUCGAUACCCGAGUGGAAAACAAGAACGGCAGACAAGAGCCUGUAGAGGAUCUGGAAACCGUAAGCCUGGGGCCAGAGAAUCCGGGAAAGACGAUCAGAAUCGGGUCGAGACUUAAGGGAGAGCGAAAGCAGGAGUUGGUGAAAUGCUUACAGGCUCAUGCUGAUGUGUUUGCUUGGACACAUGAAGACAUGCCAGGGAUUGACCCUGAGGUAGCAUGUCAUAAGUUGGCAAUAAAGAAAGGUGCUCGGGCAGUAAGGCAGAAGAGGAGGUGCUUCAACCAGGAGAGGUAUGAGGCUAUAAAUGGCGAGGUGGAGAAGCUCCUGGGAGCAGGGUUCAUUCGGGAAGUCAGUUACCCUGAGUGGAUAUCGAAUGUAGUGUUGGUAAAGAAGGCAAACGGCAAGUGGAGGAUGUGUGUGGAUUUCACAGACCUCAAUAAGGCGUGCCCGAAAGACAGCUUCCCUUUGCCCAAGAUCGAUCAGUUAGUAGACUCAACGGCUGGGCACGGUCUGCUUAGCUUCAUGGACGCGUUCUCGGGAUACAACCAGAUCCCCAUGCACGAGCAGGAUGAGGAGAGCACGGCUUUCAUCACUAACCAAGGUUUGUUCUGUUACAGGGUAAUGCCAUUCGGUCUCAAAAAUGCUGGGGCCACCUAUCAAAGGCUGGUGAACAAAGUCUUUAAGCCGUUGAUUGGGAGAACCAUGUAGGUGUACGUGGAUGACAUGAUCACCAAGUCCAAAAUCCCGGAGGAACAUGUCAGACACCUCGAGGAGACAUUCGAGCUUUUGAGGAAGUAUAAGAUGAAGCUCAACCCGGAGAAGUGUGCUUUUGGGGUCGAGUCAGGGAAAUUCCUUGGAUUCAUGGUGAGCCAUAGGGGGAUUGAAGCGAAUCCCGAGAAAAUCCAGGCGGUUGUGCAGAUGAAGUCUCCUCGAAACCUGAAGGAGAUGCAGAGCCUCACGAGGAGGUUGGCGGCGUUGAGCAGAUUCAUAUCCAAGGCUACAGAUAAGUGUCAGCCAUUCUUUCAAGUGAUAAGGAGGGGAAAGAAAACAGAAUGGACCCCAGAAUGCGAGGAAGCCUUCCAGAACUUGAAACAAUACUUGCAACAAGCUCCGCUGCUGUCCACACCGAGGGAGGGGGACAAGUUAUAUAUGUAUUUGGCGGUAUCGGAUCGGGCCGCCAGUUCUGUUCUGGUGAGAGAGGAAGAAGGAGUUCAGUAUCCGAUAUACUACACCAGCAAGGCCCUCCUCGACGCUGAGACCAGAUACCCACCGUUGGACAAAUGGGCACUUGCCCUUGUGGUUGCUGCUCGGAAGUUGAGGCCAUAUUUUCAAGCAUUCCCAGUCUCGGUAAUAACAAACCAGCCAUUGCGUCAAACUCUGCACAAGCCAGAUGCCUCUGGUCGGCUCGUCAAGUGGGCUGUAGAGCUGAGCGAGUUCAACAUAGACUAUAAACCCCGCGCAGCGAUAAAGGCCCAGGCAAUGGCCGAUUUCGUAGCUGAGUUCACAGAGCCCGAAGCAUGCUUAGAUCAACAAGAUGCAGUUAUAGGCAGUGACGAAACUCAAGUAUGGCAGAUGUCUGUGGAUGGGUCGUCAGGGGAGCGGGGUUCAGGAGCAGGGAUUGUCUUGGAAGGCCCAGAGGGGGAGGAGAUCUCUUAUGCUGUAAAAUUGGAAUUUGCAGCCACAAAUAACCAGGCAGAGUAUGAAGCCUUGACAGCAGGUCUGGAAUUGGCUCAGGCCGUGAAAGCAGACAGAGUUAAGAUCAGAACUGAUUCCCAGCUGGUGGCGAAUCAUGUCAAUGAAAGAUUCCAACCAAGAGAGGAGAAGAUGGAGCAGUACCUGAAGAUAGUCAAGCAGAUGAUGGCGAAAUUCGAGGCAGUGGAGGUGAUACAAAUCCCCAGGGAGCAGAAUAGUCGAGCAGACAUCUUGGCUAGGAUGGCAGCAGUAGCCGACCCAAAAAUGCCAAAGUCGGUCCCUCUGGAGGUGAAGUCCGGCCCAAGUAUCGAGCAGAAUUUGGGGGUGCUGCGGAUAGAACAAAAAUGCUCGUGGAGGGACCCGAUAGUUUCAUACCUUAGAGACGGGGCAUUACCACCAGAUAAGCUGCGAGCUCGGAAGAUUAGAGCCCAGGCCUCGAGAUACACGAUGAUUGAUGGGGUAUUGUAUCGGCGAGGAUACACACUACCGUUCCUUCGGUGUUUGGAUGAGGAUGACGCGGAUUACGUACUGAGAGAAGUACAUGAAGGAAUUUGCGGAAAUCAUUCUGGCGGGAGGUCCCUGGCCCACAAGGUUUUAAGGCAGGGAUAUUUCUGGCCGACAAUGCACCGGGAUGCGCAAGAGAAGACCAGGAGUUGUGUAAGCUGCCAGAGUUUUGCAAAUUUCUCUAACCAGCCCCCAGAGAAGCUCACCUCUAUGGCCUCCCCUUGGCCAUUUGCUCGAUGGGGAAUUGAUCUGAUCGGCCCAUUGCCAAAGGGACGAGGAGCAGCAACACAUGCAAUAGUUGCUAUAGAUUACUUCACGAAGUGGAUAGAGGUAGAGGCCCUUAGCAGGAUCACAGAGAAGAAAACAACAGACUUCGUGUGGAGAAACCUGGUCUGUCGAUACGGGAUCCCUUAUGCCUUGGUAACGGAUAAUGGCAGGCAGUUCGAUAAUCACAGCUUCAGGGAUUUCUGCCAGAACCUCGGGAUAGAGCUGAAGUAUUGCUCGCCUGCUCACCCUCAAUCGAAUGGACAAGUAGAAGCAGCCAACAAGAUCAUCAAGAGGCUUUUGAAAACCAGGCUCGGAGCAAAAAAGGGUGCGUGGGUUGACGAGCUGCCAGGUGUGCUAUGGGCAUACAGAACAACCCACAAAACCGCAACUGGGGAGACACCUUUCGCUUUGGCUUUCGGACAUGAAGCGGUCGUGCCGGCUGAGAUAGGAACGACCACACACCGGACAAAUCAUUUCAAUGAGCAGGAGAACGACGAGCAGAUAUGUUUGAAUCUUGAUCUGCUAACGGAGAGGAGGGAGCAAGCAGCCAAGCGAUCAGGCAUUUACCAACAGAGGGUUGCUCGGUAUUACAACCAGAAGGUGAACAUACGGCAAUUCAGGGUCGGAGACUAGGUACUGAGAAGAGUGAAUCAGAGCACCAAAGAUUCGUCUCAAGGAGUGCUGGGACCGAAUUGGGAAGGGCCAUAUAGAGUCAAGCAGAUAGCGGGACCCGGAGCUUACAAGCUGGUUCGCGCAGACGGCCACGAGGUGAAACGCCCAUGGAACGCAGCACACCUCCGGAAAUACUUCCAGUAAGAUUUGUACACAUGUGAAAGCUAUUUUCGCUCAUUUUCAUUACCGUUUAUCUUUCACCCUUAUUGUCAAAAGCAAGUUCAUGUAAAACCAAAACCUGCAAUUGAUGGAACUUGAAACUGUAAGAAAAAUCAAAGGCACGCAAAGGCUCACCCAGUCUCAAAGCCUGUCUUAUGGCGAGAAAGAAGCCAAGCGUGCCAGGAUCUGCUCGGCCACGAGAAGGCAGCAGAAUCCCAAUCCUCGAAAAAUCCAAGGCACGCAAAGGCUCACCAAGUCUCAAAGCCUGUCUUAUGGAGAGACAGAAGCCAAGCGUGCCAGGAUCUGCUCGGCCACGAGAAGGCAGCAGAAUCCCAAUCCUCGAAAAAUCAAAGGCACGCAAAGGCUCACCCAGUCUCAAAGCCUGUCUUAUGGCGAGACAGAAGCCAAGCGUGCCAGGAUCUGCUCGGCCACGAGAAGGCAGCAGAAUCCCAAUCCUCGAAAAAUCCAAGGCACGCAAAGGCUCACCAAGUCUCAAAGCCUGUCUUAUGGCGAGACAGAAGCCAAGCGUGCCAGGAUCUGCUCGGCCACGAGAAGGCAGCAGAAUCCCAAUCCUCGAAAAAUCCAAGGCACGCAAAGGCUCACCAAGUCUCAAAGCCUGUCUUAUGGCGAGACAGAAGCCAAGCGUGCCAGGAUCUGCUCGGCCACGAGAAGGCAGCAGAAUCCCAAUCCUCGAAAAAUCCAAGGCACGCAAAGGCUCACCAAGUCUCAAAGCCUGUCUUAUGGCGAGACAGAAGCCAAGCGUGCUAGGAUCUGCUCGGCCACGAGAAGGCAGCAGAAUCCUAAUCCUCGAAAAAUCCAAGGCACGCAAAGGCUCACCAAGUCUCAAAGCCUGUCUUAUGGCGAGACAGAAGCCAAGCGUGCCAGGAUCUGCUCGGCCACGAGAAGGCAGCAGAAUCCCAAUCCUCGAAAAACCCAAGGCACGCAAAGGCUCACCGAGUCUCAAAGCCUGUCUUAUGGCGAGACAGAAGCCAAGCAUGGCGGGAUCUGCUCGACCGCGUAAAGGCGAGCAGAAUCCCGAACAUCGGAAAAUUUUCUAAGGCAGGUGGCGAAACCAUAUACCAAGCCAUAGCCAGCUCGACCAGACGAAGACGAGCAGGCUCUCGUAAUUACCACACAAGAGAGUAAUCAAAAACAUUUCUAUUAAUUUGUUAAUAAUUAACAAAGCAGAUAAUCUUCACAAACAUUGUUCAUUACAAUACAAGAAACAUAUCAGGAAGGUCGUGGAUCAGUAAGCCCAGCAGCGUCGGUUGGUUGGACCUCCUCAGGUGCAGGAGGAGUAUCACCAGCUGCAUCCAGAGGGGCGCUCGCCUCGCCAACAUCAGCAGGGACUGCACGAGGAGGAGAGUCUCCCUCCUCAAUCACGAUCGGCUCUACCCCUUCGGCAUCUUCCUUGGCCGCCUCCUCGUCCAUAUGUUGAGCAACACCAGCUGCAAGGUCAUCCAUCUUCAGAUCAGGGUGUUGCUUUCCGAGGACGGCCAUGAUACAACGAUAGGAAUGCCGAAGUCCCUGGUCGUACUGGUUGUCGGCCUCCCUCUCCAAGUUCUCUACAUGAGCUCGGUGGGAAUCGCGGAGAGAUUCGAGCUGAGCCUCAUACAUAGCCCUCUGCCCUUGGAGAUCCUCCUUAACCUUGGUCAGCUCCUCCUCGAAGGUAAUGGCUUUUGCUUGAGCAAGAGACUCUUGCUCUAUCAGCUUGAGGUUCUCAACGUUUAGCUCCCGCGCUUUUUUCUCAGCAACGUCAGCUCUGGUCGUCGCCGAUUGAAUGUCCUCCUUCAUCUUCCUGUCGUAACGGCCUACCUUGGCCUUAUAGUAGGUGGCCAUGCAGCUGAGAUGGAAAGCGCUAUACUGCAUGGCUCCCACCAGCUCGCCCAGGGUACAACCGUCAAAGCCCUCCAGGUCCUUCUUGCUCACGAGUUUAGACAACUCAUUGAGAUAGGGAACCAAGUGUUCUGGUCGGCCGUCGGGUAAGCGAGACCGAGGCACAACAGGUGGAGAAGAGGAAGCAGGAUCAGUGGCUGCUCCACUGGAUUCCCCGACUUUAGCAGAGGCAGGAGGGAGAGCCUGCAAGGGAGGAACCUGCUGCACGAUGUUCUUUCGCUUCGCAGCGGGAGCAUCUUUGUCCUGGUCCCUAUCGGUUGUUGGAGGCCGAGAGCGUUUCCUGGUCAGAGCUCCAAUCACUGCGUCCUCCAUCUUAUGGCCAGGAAGUAUCAACCGAGACUCGAGGAAGUUGUAUGUAGAUAGCAGUUCUCGGCUCGAGCAGGAAUUGGCCAGUACAGCCUCGACCCGUUUAAGCUGACCAGGUCGGAGCGGGAAGUGAACACCCCAGGAAACUACAGCACAAACAGACACUUGGUUAGAGACAAACCAAUACAGCAAGAACAAUUAUGGAUACAAGACAUCUAAAGCGAGCAGGCAACCUGGGACCGUGAAACGGGGUGGGACGCGACAAUUCUUCCCGUCUAUUUGUGCAACUUGACCCCAGGGACCCCCAGCAAAAAAGAAUUUCCUCUUCCAAGUCCCACCACCACCAGUUGGAAGAUCAGUUAUGGGUUUCCUGCUCUUGGUACCAGAUUGGAAGUAGUACCAGCCGGCAUCUUUAGGGCUGCUCUUCAGCUGGUACAGGUGCUUCACCUCAUCAACCGUGGGCUCGCUUUGGCAACAUCUGUCCCACAAUAUGAACAGACCAGAGAGCACUCUCCACCCGUUGGGGUUCAGCUGACCAGGAGCCAGAUUUAGCCCGUUAAGUAUCCGGGCAAAGUAAGGCUGCAAGGGACACCUCAGCCCAUACUUAAAGCUCUCCAGAUACAGGGUAACGUAUCCCCUAGGAGGCCGGCUAGGUGUAUCCUUCUUUCCUGGGAUCUUAAGAGGUAUCUCACCAGGAAUACUAUACCUAAGUCGGAGGUCAUUGAGCUCGUCAAACGUGGUCGUACACGACAUGUAAUCAAUGGCAUAAUCACGCGACAAGGCUCUACCUCCUACUGUACCCCGUUCUUCUGGUCGUGAUGUUCCAGAUGGAGACACCUCACCAGAAUCACCUUCCCCCUUCUCACUCAAGGUGCCUCCAGAGCCAGAAGAUCCCUCUUCACCACUACUUCCGCUCGUGGAGGUCGUUUGGGGGGACAUCUGAAAUACAAAUGUGCAACCCAAGAGGGGGGGUGAAUUGGAAUUUUAAAAAUUUAUCCUAACAAAUCCACACAACAAGCAAUCUAAUGUCUUAACAAUAAUUGAAAAUAAUAAGUUCAAUAAUAGCGUAAUAAUUAAAGAGUAAGGAAGAAGAAAAAACAAACACACGAAUUUUUACGUGGUUCGGCAAUCCCCGCCUAUGUCCACGCCUCCAAGCGAUCCAAGCUCGAGGAUUUCACUAACCAAGCCUUUCCGAGGCUUCAACCGAAUACAAUUGACUUCGAGGUGUCAAUAAACCUUUACAAUGAAGAGAUUAUCUCCCAAUCUCUCCACUCAAGUGUUUCACUCACUCAAAUUCUUACAAAUGAAAUGAAGAAAUGAAGAUUACAAUAAAUCUCACUCAAUGAGUAGAUAUACAAUGAUGAAGAACAAUGAAUGAUUCAAUGUUUUGUGUUUGACAAGUUGAAGGCUCAAGAUAUCACGUGUGCUUUUUGUUCUUGCUUGUUGGAGAGCUUCAAAAUGAGUUGGAUUUGAGUUCUUAUAGCUUGAGCUCGAAAACUAGCCGUUGCUCACAUUCUGGGCUAACCGGUUUACCGUUUAAUGGAAUCCGGUAAGCCGGAUUUAUGUUACCGUUAAGGCAAAAUUCAAAAUUUUGCCUAACCGGCUUGCCGGUUUCACGAAUCCGGUAAGCCGUUUUCGUUCUGGUGCUUUCUACCUCGAAUUUGGCCUGCCGUUUAUCAGUAUCCGGUAAGCCGCUUGCUACAGUAACUGCUACAGUAAAAUAUUUCCCGAAAUUUACAGUUUAACCCCAAAACUUUAUAAAACUGUAGUAUGGCCCAAAACGUUAUAAAAGUUUGCAAAUAGGUCCAAUUUCAGAAUUUUAAAUAAUACUUUCUCAAACCCACAACUUUAUGAAAUUAUAGAAUGGCCCAAAAACAUUUAAAUAAUUUCAAAUAGGUCCAAAUCCGAAAUUUAAAAUACUAUCAAAGAUUUUAAAAUUACUUUCAUUUUAGUCCAAAAUGCUUUAAUUCCAUAACAUCAUUUUCUUAUUAUAAAAGCACAAUUCAUAAAUCUUUACUUAAUAAAUACAUGUGGUUUGUUAUCAUCAAAAUCAAUAUUUAUAGCCAUAUAGGCUAACAAUCUCCCCCUUUUUGAUGAUGACAAAGCACAUUAAAAACCUUAAUCUUGUUAUGAAAAAAGCUCCCCCUUAAUCAAUGCAGAUUAAAAAAUAAUUUGAAAAUAGUUUAACAAAAACUCCCCAUGCAUACAUGCUCCCCCUAAAUACAUGCAUAUUUUCAUAACUCAUUAAAUCAUUCUCCCCCUUCAUCAUCAAAAAAAAAAAUAAAAGCUCCCCCUAUCAAUCAUCAAAACAGCAACAUAAGCUCAUUAGUAAAAACAAAAAUAUCCAUAAGCAUAAGAGAAUCCAUAUAAUCCAUAAUAAUCACUCAAAAAAUAAAUCCAUAACAUCCAACAUAAAUAGUCAUACCAAAUCCAUAUAAUCCAAAACAAAUACAUAAAUCAAAACGCAUAAUAACUAUCCAUAGAGUCGAAAAUAAAAGAACACACAAUGCAGUAAAUGAAAUGUAGGUGUGUCCAAAUACAAGCACAAAAUACUACUCAGGUGGUGAGGAUGGAGGUGAUGGAGGUGAUGGAGGUGGAAACGGAUAUGGAACGCCGAAGUGCUCGAAGAGGAGGCGCUGUCCAUGAAUGAGCUGCUGCUGCAGCUGCCGCUGCUGCUGCUGCUCCUGCUGAAGCUCAGUCUGCCUCACCGAAAGUGUCCGAACCUCAUCCAUAAGCUGCUGAAGAGUGACAUCUCCAGAGGUAGGAGGCCGUGGAGGUGAUGAAGCGGAUGCAGAUGCACUAGGAGCCGAAGCAACUGUAGAAGAAACUCGGCGUCUACGCUGCCCUCGAAAUGAUAGUGAGAAUACUGGAAGCUGAUCAGCGGGAAUCAUGGCAUUAAGUGGCCGAUCAUCACUUGGGGCUAGAAAGGUAAACUUGUUAUCGCUGUAUUUGACCCAAGUGUCAUCCUUCCACUCAAAGCCUAACCCAACAAUAACCUCAUCCCCAAUACCCUUGGAUGGCCUACAAGAAGGUUCUAGAAUCGGCACUUCAAAGAAUUUAAGAAUACGAGUAAUGAAGUGACCAUAAGGAAGAGAGCGGGUAAUCAAGGCUGGAAUGCUCAACAUGGUGCGAACAAUGGAAUAGCCCAAGUCAACCGGGCGACCUCUAAGAAUACAGUCAAUCAUGGCGACAUCCAUGUGAGACACCUCAUCCAAAUGUCCUGAUCUAGGAAGUACAAUGGACUGGAUGAUACGAAGCAAAAAACGAGUUUGAAGACAAAGACACUGAGUACGGAAAUGAAUGGUACAGUCUUCAACAGAAAGAUCAUUACGCCGACAAAUAUUACGAACGGCAUCAACAUGAACAUAAUCAUCAAUUUCAGGAGGUUUCCUAAGAGAAAAAAUGUCCAAGCCAUCAUCGGAAGAUCCUAGGAUGUUGUCCAAGUCCGAAUCAUCAAAUUCAAUCAAAACUCCUCCAACUGUGGUGAUUACUCGAUUCUCUUUCUCCGCGGAACAAUCCAUGUUCGAGUAAAAUACUUUCACCAAGUCGGGAUACAUAUUCUCCUCAAUCAACAAUGCAUCAAUCCAACCAACAUCUUCCAACAAUUGAAAUAAAGUUCUAUGACUAAUCUGGAGAGAAUGUAAAACAUCCGGUAAAACAAAGAAAGUGUUGAGUACCUCACGAGUCCGAAAGUUUUGUUGAAACCUUUUGAUCAAGUGUUGCUUGUUCUGAAAGUGAAUGGACUCAAAGGUGGAUUGAUUUGAGAUGACCCUUGCUUCCCGUGGCCGUGUGGAUGGUUGAACCGGCUCUUUGCCUUUUCUUCGAACCGGCCUAGAGCUUGACAUAGUGAUUUGGUUGAUUUGGAGUUGAAAGAGAUGAGGAAAAUGAUGAUGAUGAAGAUUGAAAGUGAUUUGGUGAAACAAAUUGGAUCAAAAACGGCUUGAGAGUGAGAAAUCUAGAGAGAGAAAAAUUCGGCUCAAAACCUAGGUUGGAAUUGGGAUCCAAGGAUUUAGAUGUUGAAAACGGGUUACAAGAAUGGUUUUGUGAUCUUAAUGAGAUGGGGAAUGAUUUUAUUGAUUCAAUUUGAUGAAAAAAAAGAAAGAAAAGAAUGGAUUUUAGAGAGAAAUCAAGAGAGGAGAAAACGGGUUUUAGAGAGAUGAAGAAUCGGUUUUCCGAAUGCAUGAGGAAGAGAAUGAAUAGUUUAGAAGGGGUCACGAAUCCGGCUUGCCGGCUCUUGAUAACCGGCUUGCCGGUUAAUGGGCAGCAACUUGAAAGCCGAAAACGGCUUGCCGAAAAACCAAAUCCGGUAGCCCGGAUAUGGACCCGAGAGACAUGACACAAAAACGGCUUGCCGGUUUUUGAGAACCGGUUUGCCGGAUGUUAACCCGAGAGUCAUACCGAGAAAACGGUUUGCCGGUUUUUAAGAACCGGUUGGCCGAAAAUGAACCCGAGACCAGCAAUUGGAAAUUCGGCUUGCCGGUUUCCUUAACCGGCUGGCCGGUUUCGAGGGAUUUCAAACACAAUUCGGUUUUCCGGAUGUCUUGAACCGGAAAUCCGGUUUUGUUCCAGUAAGCAUGCAUGAGAAAUCGGUUUUUUUUUUGGAUUUGAAGAACCGGCAGACCGGUUAUGAGGCAGAGAUGAAGCAUAGCAAAUCCGGUUUUCCGGAUUGAAGAUCCGGUUGUCAGGAAUGUGUUCCGAGAGAGAUCAAUGAGAAGAAAUGUUUUUCCGGAUGAAUGGAAAGGGAAAAAUUACUAGCUCUUGUACUUAUACUACACACCAUUUUAUUUCCGGCUUCAAAAAUUGAUUAAUUUUAAAUCAUUUCGAGAUUUAAAACUUUUCAAUAAGCCAUUUAAUGCAUGCAACAUAAAAUCAUAAAAUCAUAACAUUACAAGCAUAUCAAGCCAUCUAAUUUAUGAACCAUAAAUCCAUAUGAUAACAAGCAUAUCAAGUCAAGUAGAAAAUCAUGAAUUAAGAUUCAACAUUCAUCAUUCCAAGCUCAUGCCUUAUCUUUAUAAAAUGCUCUUCACUAAGAGGUUUUGUAAAGACAUCCGCAAGUUGAUUUUCAGUGGAAACAAAUUUAAUCACAACAUCCCCUUUUUGAACAUGAUCUCUAAGGAAAUGAUGUCUAAUUUCUAUAUGCUUAGUUCUAGAAUGCUGAAUGGGAUUCUUGGAAAGAUUUAUAGCACUAGUAUUGUCACAUAAGAUAGGAAUAUGAUCAAGUAUAAUGCCAUAGUCUCUAAGGGUUUGUUUCAUCCAUAGAAUUUGUGCACAACAACUACCUGCGGCAAUAUAUUCUGCCUCGGUGGUUGAAAGCGCAACCGAGUUUUGUUUCUUACUAAACCAAGAGACAAGAGAAUGACCUAAGAAGUGACAUGUUCCACUAGUACUUUUUCUAUCAACCUUAUACCCAGCAAAAUCGGCAUCCGAAUAACAAGUUAAAUCAAUAUGAGUUCCUCUAGGAUACCAAAGGCCAAGAUUAAUAGUGCCAAUUAAAUAUCGAAAAAUACGUUUGACAGCAAGCAUGUGAGACUCUUUCGGACAAGAUUGAAAUCUAGCACACAAGCAAACACUAAACAUAAUAUCAGGCCUACUAGCAGUCAAGUAGAGUAAGGAUCCGAUCAUACCUCGAUAUGUCUUGAUGUCAACUUCCUUACCUUUCUCAUCUUUGUCCAGCUUGAUGGUGGUACUCAUAGGAGUGCUUUUUGCCGUUCCAUUAUCAUAGCCAAAUCUUUUGAGUAGAUCUCUCACGUACUUGGCUUGAUUUAUGAAGAUUCAUUCCUCGUUUUGUUUGAUUUGAAGUCCAAGGAAGUACUUCAACUCUCCCAUCAUACUCAUCUCAAACUCUUGGCUCAUACAUGAUGAAAAAUCUUUACACAACAACUCAUUAGUAGAACCAAAAAUAAUAUCAUCAACAUAUAUUUGAACAAUAAGUAUGUCUUGGUUCUUAUGCUUAACAAAAAGAGUUGUGUCCGCUUUUCCCAUUGAAAAAUCGUUAUCCAACAAGAAAUUUUUAAGCCUAUCAUACCAAGCUCUAGGUGCUUGUUUUAAACCAUACAAAGCCUUGGAUAACUUAUACACAUGAUCUGGAAAUUUUUCAUUUUCAAAAUCAGGAGGUUGUUUCACAUAAACUUCCUCCAUAAUGUAUCCAUUUAAGAAAGCACUCUUGACAUCCAUUUGAUACAAAAUAAAAUCCUUAUGACAUGCAUAUGCUAACAACAUCCUAAUGGAUUCUAAUCUUGCUACAGGUGCAAAAGUUUCAUCAAAAUCAAUUCCUUCUUCUUGGUUGUAACCUUGAGCCACUAAUCUAGCUUUAUUUCUUACAACCACACCGGAUUCAUCCAUUUUGUUUCUAAAUACCCAUUUAGUACCUAUAAUGGAUUGAUGUUCCGGAUUAGGAACUAACUCCCACACAUUAUUUCUCUCAAAUUGAUUCAACUCCUCUUGCAUUGCCAUAAUCCAAGAUUCAUCAUUUUCCGCAUCCGCAAAGGAUUUUGGUUCAAUUUGAGAAAUAAAUGCAGCAUGCUCACAUGUGUUUCUAAGAGAUAAUCUAGUGGUAACACCUCGUGAGGGAUCUCCUAAAAUUACAUCCUUAGGGUGAGAGGAUACAUACCUCCACUCCUUGGGGAGUGUUUGAGAAGUACCUUCAUUUUGCUCCACAUUUGUUUCUUCAUGAUAUUCCUCUUGAAUUCCGUGUGGCGCAUCUUCUUGGUUGUCAUUCGAUGUUCCUUCUUGCUGUUCUUCUUCUGCAUUAUCAUCAACAACAACUUUCUCCGUAGAGGAGGGGUUAGUCUCAUCAAAUGUAACAUGCAUAGAUUCUUCCACAACUAAAGUUCUUUUGUUAUAAACUCUAUAAGCUUUGCUUGAAUUUGAAUAACCAAGAAAGAUACCAACAUCAGAUUUUGGAUCAAAUUUACCAAGAUUAUCUUUUGUAUUCAAAACAAAACAUUUACAUCCAAAAACUUUAAAAUAGCCAAUGUUGGGUUUUCUAUCUUUCCAAAGCUCAUAUGGAGUUUUAUUAAGAUUAGGUCUAAUCAACACCCGGUUUAAAACAUAACAAGCGGUGUUGACGGCUUCGGCCCAAAAAUAUUUAGGCAAGGAAUUUUCAUUCAACAUGGUCCUAGCCAUUUCUUGAAUAGACCUAUUCUUUCUCUCUACUACUCCAUUUUGUUGUGGAGUCCUAGGUGAUGAAAAUUGAUGUUCAAUGCCAAAGUCAUUACAAAAAUUUUCAAAAGCAUGAUUUUCAAAUUCUCCACCAUGAUCACUUCUAAUACAAGUGAUGGAGUAACCUUUUUCAUUUUGAACCUUUUUACAGAAAAUUCGAAAUGCAUCAAUGGCAUCAUCCUUAUUAGCUAAGAACAAUACCCAUGUGUAUCUCGAAUAAUCAUCCACAAUUACAAAUGCAUAAAACUUGCCACUUAAACUAGCAUAUCUAGAAGGUCCAAAUAAAUCUAUAUGAAGCAAUUGAAGUGGUUUUGAAGUGGAAACAUGAUUCUUGCUUUUGAAGGAAGUUUUGAUUUGUUUUCCAAAUUGGCAAGCUUCACAAGUUCUAUCUUUUUGAAAAUUGAUUUUUGGAAGACCUUUUACUAAAUCAUUUUUCACGAUUUUUGAAAUCAAAUCCAUGCUUGCAUGACCUAAUCUUCUAUGCCACAACCAACCAUCAUCAUGCAAUGCGGAUAGACAUUUAUCAUGUAUUGAUGCACAAUUUAUAUUAAUGGUAUAAACAUUAACACAUCUAUUUCCUAUAAACAAGACUUUCCCAUCACAUGCAUUCUCAAUAACACAUUUUGAUUCAUCAAAGAUAACUCUAUAUCCUUUAUCACAUAAUUGACUAAUGCUAAGCAAAUUGUGUUUCAAGUUUUCAACCAAACACACAUUCUCAAUGAGGGUAGAGGAUACAUUACCGACAUUUCCAAUUCCAAUGAUUUUUCCUUUUGAAUUAUCUCCAAACGAAACAUCUCCACCAUUUUCGAUCUUGAUAAAGCUUGAAACCAAGAAUAAUUCCCUGUCAUGUGUCUUGAACAGUCGCUGUCCAAGUACCACUUACUCUUCUUCUUCUUUGAUCCCUCAAAGAAAAAUCUCNNNNNNNNNNNNNNNNNNNNNNNNNNNNNNNNNNNNNNNNNNNNNNNNNNNNNNNNNNNNNNNNNNNNNNNNNNNNNNNNNNNNNNNNNNNNNNNNNNNNNNNNNNNNNNNNNNNNNNNNNNNNNNNNNNNNNNNNNNNNNNNNNNNNNNNNNNNNNNNNNNNNNNNNNNNNNNNNNNNNNNNNNNNNNNNNNNNNNNNNNNNNUCAAAUUCGGUUUAUAACCUAAUCCACUUUUGUCAAAUACACAUUUUUGUGAGUUUAGCAAAUUGUCCAACAUCUUUUACCCAUUUGUGAAUCUUAACACAAUUUCAUUUAGCUCAUUACUCUUCUUUCUAAGCAUUUCAUUCUCAUUUUUCAAGUCAUUCAUGUGUGACUCUAAGUGCUCAUGUGAAGUGCUAGAAUUCUUGAGUAAUGCAAUACUAUCAUGCAAUGUCUUAUUUUCUAAUUCUAAGCAUGUAAUCUUUGCACUAAAUGAAUCAUUUUCAUUCUUAAGCUCUAUCAUCUUCUUUUUAAGACUUAUAUUCUUUUUGCCAAUCUUCAUUAGCUCAUCAUGCAAAUCAUUAAAGGCAUCAUGCAAUUCAUCAUAUGUAGGAAGAACACUCACCUCAUCAAGUUCAUCACAUGAUUCUUCCCCAAUGGCCAUGAGAGCCAAAUUUGUCAUUUCUUGUUGCUCAUCUCUUCACUUGUUUCCUCUUCGCUAUCAUCCCAUGUGGCCACCAUAGCUUUCUUCUUGAGUUUGUUGAGAAGAGGACAUUCCGGUCGUAUGUGUCCGGGCUUCUUGCAUUCAUAACAAGUGAUUGGCUCCUUCUUCUCCUUCUUAUUCUUGUAGCCUCUAAACUUUCUCUGCUCAUUAUUCUUCUUGUAAAAUUUUCUGAAUCUUCUAGCUAACAUAGCCAGCUCCUCAUCAUCCAUUUCGCUUUCCUCAUCACUCUCACGUUUUGAAGCCUUGAGAGCAAUGUUCUUCUUCUUUUCCUCAUGCCCUUUUUCAGCUGCCAAAUCUUCUUCAUAUGAAAUAAGAGAGCCAAUUAAAUCAUCAAUAGGUAACACAUUUAAAUCCUUGGCUUCCUCAAUGGCAGUCCUUUUUGGUCUCCAUUCCUUAGGUAGAGACCUAAUGAUUUUCUUGACUUUCUCGCUAUUUGAAAAAGUCUUUCCUAGGGCUCCUAGAGUGUUCACUAUGUCCGUGAAUCUAGUAUACAUAGAGUACACAUUUUCAUUUUGUUCCAUUUGGAACAAUUCGUAUUGUCGAGUGUACCUACUUAUUUUAGAUUCUUUCACUUGGUUCGUGCCUUCAUAGACAACCUCAAGUUUGUGCCAAAUCUCAUUAGCACUUUCGCAACUAGACACUCUAUGAAACUCUUUCUUAUCUAGUGCACAAAACAAGGCAUUCAUGGCCUUGGAAUUUAGAGAAGCUUUUCUCUUUUCGAAUUCAUUCCAAUCCCGUGAAGGUUUUGGAAUAUCUUCUCCAACUUCAUUUUUGGUCAAGGGCAUGAAAGGACCAUCAUUAACGAUUUCCCAAAUCUCAUAAUCUAAGGCUUGCAAGUAAAUUCUCAUCCUAGUUUUCCAAUAUGGGUAAUCGUUUCCAUCAAAGUAAGGUGGUCUAGUGGUGGACUGCCCUUCCCUAAAUGUGGAAUCAUUUUGAGUUGCCAUUGAUCUUUAGCUCUAGAUGGUUAAAUCUAAAUAAGAGCACCUCGCUCUGAUACCAAAUGAAAUACAAGUGUGCAACCCAAGAGGGGGGGUGAAUUGGAAUUUUAAAAAUUUAUCCUAACAAAUCCACACAACAAGCAAUCUAAUGUCUUAACAAUAAUUGAAAAUAAUAAGUUCAAUAAUAGCGUAAUAAUUAAAGAGUAAGGAAGAAGAAAAAACAAACACACGAAUUUUUACGUGGUUCGGCAAUCCCCGCCUACGUCCACGCCUCCAAGCGAUCCAAGCUCGAGGAUUUCACUAACCAAGCCUUUCCGAGGCUUCAACCGAAUACAAUUGACUUCGAGGUGUCAAUAAACCUUUACAAUGAAGAGAUUAUCUCCCAAUCUCUCCACUCAAGUGUUUCACUCACUCAAAUUCUUACAAAUGAAAUGAAGAAAUGAAGAUUACAAUAAAUCUCACUCAAUGAGUAGAUAUACAAUGAUGAAGAACAAUGAAUGAUUCAAUGUUUUGUGUUUGACAAGUUGAAGGCUCAAGAUAUCACGUGUGCUUUUUGUUCUUGCUUGUUGGAGAGCUUCAAAAUGAGUUGGAUUUGAGUUCUUAUAGCUUGAGCUCGAAAACUAGCCGUUGCUCACAUUCUGGGCUAACCGGUUUGCCGUUUAAUGGAAUCCGGUAAGCCGGAUUUAUGUUACCGUUAAGGCAAAAUUCAAAAUUUUGCCUAACCGGCUUGCCGGUUUAAGGAAUCCGGUAAGCCGUUUUCGUUCUGGUGCUUUCUGCCUCGAAUUCGGCCUGCCGUUUAUCAGUAUCCGGUAAGCCGCUUGCUACAGUAACUGCUACAGUAAAAUAUUUCUCGAAAUUUACAGUUUAACCCCAAAACUUUAUAAAACUGUAGUAUGGCCCAAAACGUUAUAAAAGUUUGCAAAUAGGUCCAAUUUCAGAAUUUUAAAUAAUACUUUCUCAAACCCACAACUUUCUGAAAUUAUGACUUCGCCCAAACUUUAUGAAAUUAUAGAAUGGCCCAAAAACAUUUAAAUAAUUUCAAAUAGGUCCAAAUCCGAAAUUUAAAAUACUAUCAAAGAUUUUAAAAUUACUUUCAUUUUAGUCCAAAAUGCUUUAAUUCCAUAACAUCAUUUUCUUAUUAUAAAAGCACAAUUCAUAAAUCUUUACUUAAUAAAUACAUGUGGUUUGUUAUCAUCAAAAUCAAUAUUUAUAGCCAUAUAGGCUAACAACAUCCUCCUAGCGCUAGUCCCGACACUAGACCUAGUGGGUUCUAAGGGGGCCCCGGGGUCAAAAGCAGAAUCAGCGGGCAGACUAGGCAAAAAACCUAGUUCGUCGUCGCCAACCUCAACGACCUUCUCCUUACCCUUCGACAUAUCCUAAGUUUUAACCAAAACACCACCGCCAACUACAACCUCAAGCAAAGCAGAGAGAAAGGAAAUUACCUACAACUAACCAAUACCGAGAAAAUAGAAGAAAUACCUGAAGCAGGGACUCGGUCAGAGAGAGACAGGGAUGACAGCUUUGGUGCCGAGGUUCAUUCGCCGGAGAGACAAGAAUGGAGAAAAUGACGAGUUCGUGUAUGAAAAUUUUGGGUUUUCUUACUGAGAAGCAAACUCUUGGGCUGCCAGCAUUUAAUGACGCAUAUUCUGAGAAUCUCGCAACCGUAGGUUUGAAAUUCAAAUGGAGGGGUAGAUUUCCGCCACAUCACCGCAUCCGCAAUUAAAUGCGACACGACUCUUGGCAGCCUUUUCCAGUCCCACGCGAGCAAAAACCGUCGAGUUUCCACUGCUGGUCCACUACAUUACCCAACACCAGAAACUGGGGGACCGGUGUUUGGGAAAGAUACUGUUUGGGAGAAAUACGUCGACGAGACCAGGAAUGACGAGCAGAUAUGAUGAGCAGAUAUCUGAUGGCAGAGUCCUGCGAACCGGUGUGUUCCAUAAAAGCCUGGUGCGCGAAGGAACAGGAGCAGAAAUAUCCUGCUCGUCCACGAUGUUGUCAUCCGCGAGGCCAAUUCCCUAUAAGAGGUAUACGGCCAUUCCGGCUAGAGGUCGAUAGGCGAGGAGACCCGGUCGACUGCAGUUGACAAGACAUGCUCUCCAGCCCGAGAAUCUAGGCACGACAGCCACGCUUUCCCCUGAACCGUGGCGUAACACGCAAGAUCUCACAGAACCACGACAGCCACGCUUUCCCCUGAACCGUGGCGUAACACGCAAGAUCUCACAGAACCACGACAGCCACGCUUUCCCCUGAACCGUGGCGUAACACGCAAGAUCUCGCAGAACCACGACAGCCACGCUUUCCCCUGAACCAUGGCGUAACACGCAAGAUCCCCCGUUUGCCCAUAACGCAGCAGUCAGAGCCCCAGACCGUCUCGAAAAAAGCAGAAAACUGGGAUUCAGAGGAAGCCUAUAAAAAGGUAGCCAACGAAGGUAAAAAGGUUAGCAAUUUUGAUUCUAAAAGAGAGAAAACAAUCUAAGAGCCAUAAGAUUUGUGGCAAGCGUUCCCCGAACCUUCAUAUCUGACUUGAGCGUCGGAGGGUUUGCGCCGGGAAAACAACCGGCGUACUCUGACUUGUCUGUGUGCGCAGGAACCUCCGGGGAAGAAGCCUUACGCGGAGACCUCCUGGUCGUGGUGAAGUUGAUCGAGCAGAGAUCCUGGUCGUAGGCAGAGGAGAACCAGAAUCUCGCAUCAACAGUAUUCAUUAGGUUCGGUUCUCGCCCUGUCGUCCUUGUACCUUCCCCUUCUGCUGCAGAGGAAUGCUUCACCAAAAAUGACAUCAUAUUCGCCAACCGCCCCCGCCUGCUUGCAGGAAAACACCUUGGUAACAACUACACCACCCUCCUCUGGGCCUCUUACGGUGACCACUGGCGCAACUUGCGCCGAAUAGCUUCUCUUGAACUCUUGUCAUCUAAUCGCCUGCAGAUUUUUCAUGGCAUCCGCGUUGACGAGGUCCAGCUACUGUGUCAAAGGCUCUUCCGAGGAUCAGAGAGCGGUGAGUACCGGAUUGUUGACAUGAAGUCUAUGUUUUUUGAGCUAACUCUAAACGUGGUGAUGCGGAUGAUUGCUGGGAAGCGAUAUUAUGGAGAGAACGUGUCAGGAUCGGAGGAUGCCAGAAGAUUUAAAGCAAUUGUUACUGAGACUCUUCAAUUGAGUGCUGCUACUAAUCUUGUAGAUUUUUUGCCAUUUGUAAAGUCGGCUGGAUUGAGCAAGACUGAAAAGAGACUAUUGAUACUGCGUGCAAAACGAGAUAAGUUCACGCAGGAAUUGAUUGAAGAGCAUAGAAGACUGAGGUGUGAUUCUGCUUCUGAACAGAGGAGUGGAAAUAUGAUUGAUGUCCUACUAUCACUGCAAGAGACUGAGCCUGAAUAUUAUACAGAUCAUAUAAUCAGAGGGAUGAUGCAAGUAAUCUGCUGAUUUGACUUGAAAAUUUUAAUUAAUUAAACUUGUAAUUAAUUUCUCAAUGAAUAAUUUUUUGAAGCAUUAUUGCCUGAUUAUGUCUCCAGGUCCUGCUAAUAGAAGGGUCAGACACUUCGGCUGCAACUAUGGAAUGGGCACUGUCAAGUUUGCUAAACAAUCCAGAGAUCCUUGAACAAGCUCAAUCAGAAAUUGACACAAACGUUGGGCAAAGCCGGCUAAUUGAGGAAUCUGAUCUUACUGAACUUCCAUAUCUCCACGGCAUCAUCAAAGAGACACUCAGGAUAUACCCUGCAGCUCCACUACUAGUUCCUCAUGAAUCGUCCGAGGAGUGCACUAUAGGAGGUUUCAAAGUUCCACGUGGCACAAUGUUGUUGGUGAACUCGUGGGCCAUACAAAAUGAUCCUAGAAUAUGGGAAGAGCCCUCAAAAUUCAAGCCAGAGAGGUUCCGGGAAAUGGCAGGGAAAAGUGAUAAGUAUAUGCUUUUGCCAUUUGGGACAGGGAGGAGAGGGUGUCCUGGGGAAGGCUUGGCGAUGAGGUUGGUUGGGUUGGCAUUAGGUUCAAUGAUUCAGUGCUUUGAGUGGGUGAGAACAGGUGGUGAAUUGGUGGACAUGAGCGUAGGCACUGGGCUUACCAUGCCUAGAGCUCAACCUUUGCUAGCAAUGUGUAGGCCAAGACCAGCGAUGGUGACCCUUCUUUCUCAACUUUGAUACUCCUGUUUCUCGUGGGGUAAUUGUGUUGACUUUCUUAGUUUUAGCAGUCGAACUAUCAAAUGACAAAUUGGCAAUUCUGCAAUCUCCACGUAAGUUGUUCAAUUCUAUCGUUUCUUAAUGUAUAUUAAUUUCUUUUCGAUUAAGAGGACAUU
rnacentral:lncRNA from 1 species